rnacentral:misc_RNA from 1 species
GAUGAAGAACGUAGUGAAAUGCGAUACUUGGUGUGAAUUGCAGAAUCCCGUGAACCAUCGAGUCUUUGAACGCAAGCUGCGCCCGAAGCCACUAGGCCGAGGGCACGCCUGCCUGGGCGUCACACGCCGUUGCCCCCCCAUCUACUCCUUCGGGAUUGCGGGGGGGCGGAUGAUGGCCUCCCGUGCGCCUAGCCGCGCGGUUGGCAUAAAUACCAAGUCCUCGGCGACGCACGCCACGACAAUCGGUGGUUGCGAAACCUCGGUUGCCCGUCGUGUGCGUUCGUCGCGCAUCGAGGGCUCGAAAAAAUGCUCGGCUCCGGCUGGGCUUUCAACGCGACCCCAGGUCAGGCGGGGUUACCCGCUGAAUUUAAGCAUAUCAAUAAGCGGAGGA